UACGUAGGGUGCGAGCGUUAAUCGGAAUUACUGGGCGUAAAGCGUGCGCAGGCGGUUUUGUAAGCCAGAUGUGAAAUCCCCGGGCUUAACCUGGGAAUGGCAUUUGGGACUGCAAGGCUUGAGUGCGGCAGAGGAGACUGGAAUUCCUGGUGUAGCAGUGAAAUGCGUAGAGAUGUGGAGGAACACCGAUGGCGAAGGCAGCCUCCUGGGCCAGCACUGACGCUCAUGCACGAAAGUGUGGGGAGCAAACAGG
rnacentral:rRNA from 1 species